rnacentral:rRNA from 1 species
GAUGAACGCUGGCGGCGUGCCUAAUACAUGCAAGUCGAGCGAACGGACGAGAAGCUUGCUUCUCUGAUGUUAGCGGCGGACGGGUGAGUAACACGUGGAUAACCUACCUAUAAGACUGGGAUAACUUCGGGAAACCGGAGCUAAUACCGGAUAAUAUUUUGAACCGCAUGGUUCAAAAGUGAAAGACGGUCUUGCUGUCACUUAUAGAUGGAUCCGCGCUGCAUUAGCUAGUUGGUAAGGUAACGGCUUACCAAGGCAACGAUGCAUAGCCGACCUGAGAGGGUGAUCGGCCACACUGGAACUGAGACACGGUCCAGACACCGACGGGAGGAAGCAGUAGGGAAUCGUACGCAAUGGGGGAAAGACUGACGGUGCAACGCCGCGUGAGUGAGGAAGGUCGUCGGAUCGGAAAACUCUGUUAGUAGGGAAGAACAUAAGUGUGAGUAACUGGGCACAUCGUGACGGUACCUAAUCAGAAAGCCACGGCUAACUACGUG